UCAAAUUUACAUUAUUAAAAUUACUACAAUGAUGAGAAUUUGGAAAUUAUUUUUAAUAUCAAAAUUUAAAAAAAAAAUAAUAAUGAUAACAAAUUGACAAAAUGCCUCCUGUUAUGAGAACUUUGGAAGUUAAUUUCUAAUAUCAGAUUUCAAAAAAAAAUAAUAAUAAUGAUUAAGAUUUGAUAAAUGCCAUCUGUUAUGAGAUUCUUAAACAUGAAAAUGCAAGGAAUAAAUUUAAUAAAUCUAUUUGUACCAAAAGCUGAUCAAAAGGAAAAAUAAUCACUAUUUUUUCCUAGUAAAAUCUAGCUCUCUGAUAUUCUCUGACGACACAAAUUCUACCUGUGUUUCAAAAUCGUCAAUUACUAUUUAAAAAAAUUUCAAAUUCUACUGCCAAAAUGUUGAAAUUAAUAAACGGCUUCAUUUUUUAAAGCAAUAGAUGUAGCAAAGAUCAUACUUUAAAGUAAGAACUGUCGAUCUUACAAUAACAAUGAAAUGAUUGACAAUACGUCUAUACAAAACCUAGCUGUCUUCAAGUUGAAUAAAUAUUGCAAUAAUGAAAUGAAAAUGAUUAAUAAUUUUAGAGUUGACAACUAAUAAAUGGAAUGGAAAUUUAAAUAAAACUGAAAUAUAGAUACACCUUGGUCAAUGAUACAAAAAAAAUGUGUAAGAUUGUGCUGUGAUUUUUUACAUGGUCUUAUAUGAAACUGUGUUGUACUCAAUAUGCACUUUUGUACUGAACAUUCAAUUUUAAAAAUGGACACAGCAUUAUCAACUAAUUACAGCAUUAAUAUUUUUUAUUUCAAUUGAAUGAAAAAGCUGUUAAAACUAUGCAUCAUAAAUUCCAGAUCAUUAAAUAAAAUUAGUCGUGAAUAUCAAAUUUGGAUCUGUCCAUUUACAAAACAAAUAUUUUUAAAAAUCUAAUGCAUUCUGGGUAAUAUUUUCCAAAACACAACCAAAACAUUCUGAUUGGCUAAAGACAUCCAAAACAGUAAGAGGUUUGACCAUCAGAACUAGCUGUAGACAUUAAGAUUCUGAAACAGAAAAUUGUUCAGGUACUCAAUACAAAUGCCACAAGUUAAGUGUCAGGAAAAAAAGAAAAACCUAUUGAACAAUAUAUAGGGCAGAAUGAUUAUUAAGUAUCGAACAUCGUCAUAAUCCUUUUUUACAACAUGAGCAAUGUUUUAUGAUAUGAAUAUGCUACAAUAUCAUAAAUAAUAUGAGUUGCGACUAUCCAGGAUACUGGUAAUAUAAACAUAACUUCAAAAGAUUUACAGUGUACAUGUAUAUUACUAUAUGCUAUACAAAGAGAUAUUGACAGAAAAUUUACUAUAAAUUACAUAUCUACAAUAAGCGAUGAUUCAAUUUUCUAAACAGUUGGAAUGAAAGAUAAAAUCUAUUGAACAGAUUUUGGAAGAACUUAUCAUUUUGUUUUUUUCUCUGCUAACUAAUAAAUAAAAUUAAUUCAAGCAUAAUAUAAUGUAAUACAAAUCAUAAGCAUAUCACUAAAAGAGUUUCUGUAUCCUUAAAACAUUCUGAAAUUGACCUUAUUCACAUGAUUUUUUUUUUAUCAUAGGUAACCGUUUUCAAAUCUCCAAACUUGAAGAUCUUCCUACCGAAGAUUAAUGUUUGAAUAUAUUUUGGGUAUGACCUACAUCUUCAAACUUUCAAAAUAACCCAAAAAUUAAAAGAAGCUAAAAGCUCCACAAUUUUCCUUAUUAAUUCUGUCCAUCUCUUAAGGUGGUACCCAACACUUUAACUAAAAUCAAUUUGGCUCGUUUAAUUUUCUUAAAAUUUUGACAAAGUAUUUACUUUGACCCUUUUACAAAAAUAUAAAAAUUUCAAAAAAUUUGAACCAACAGUUUUAUCAGAAAAAAACACUGGUUAUAGCAGUUUGACAAACACUUAUUUGAUCAUUUAGGAGCUUUAAUUCCCUUAAACACAACGUAAUUAAAACGUUUAGCUGACUUUACAGAGUUAUCUCCCUGUAGUGUUAGGUACCAUCUUAAGUCUCUUCAUUUGAUACAUUGUCAGCAAAAUAAAUCAAUUCAUCAUACAAUACUUCUAACCAACUUGUCUGCAUAUUUAUACAAUUUAUCAACAAUCUUGCACAUUUUUUAUUUAUCAUAAAACAAAAUCAUUGUGUCUUUGAUUUUUCAUUUUUGACCAGGACACACAUUUUGUUAAGUCAAAUAAUGGUGGACAUGGACAAAUUUUCAACGAAGAGAUUUGGAUUGGAAAUCGAUAAAACUUGUCUUUUAGAUACCUAGCUGGAAAUUGGUCUUAAUUGAGAUUUUCACUUUUUUUCAAUAUAGGGAGACUUCAAAGGAAAACUUACAAAAUUUUUUACAAUCUGAUUUCAGAAAACAAUUAGUAAAAAAAGAGGAAAAAAAGCUGCAAAUUUAUAUCUAGCAGCUGCUGAAAACUAAGUAAAAAAAAAUCUUAAAAUUUCUCCUAAUUCCUGCCCUUAAAACUCAUAUUAAAUCUAUGUAUGCUCUGAUCUUG
rnacentral:lncRNA from 1 species